UCCAGAAAGUGAGAAAUAAGACAAUUUAAUGAUGGCUUCCUUGACUUACAGACAACGGUAGACAAACAUGUCUGCCCAUGCACGCUACAAGGAAAUUCAGGGAUGCGUGGUGCCCCAAGGCUGUGGCAUUCAGAGCCACCGCCCGGCCUUGUGCCGCGUGGUCCCACCACCCGUCUGGCUCAGUGACAACACACACAGGGAGGCAAGGGGCCUGCCUGGCCUCCUGAGUGGGCGGGAGGGCCGGGCCGAGAGGAGGCAGGGUGCACGGCCACCACCAUGCGUCAGGGGAGGAGAGGAGGGAGGAGGAAGAGGGGAUGGGUGCUCGGGGGCUGACGUCUCGGGGUGGCGAGGAAGGCAGCCACCACAACCACAGCAGAAAGCAGCACAGGUGGCAGGGGCCAGGCUUUCCUCCCACACACCGAGGUCCUGACGACCCAGCUCCACCUUCCAGAGGCUGGAACCUUCCCGGGAUUUGGAGCCGGAGAGGUGGCAAGGGUGGAGCAAUGAGAGAGAGGCUCCUUCCAACCCUGAGGCCGCCUGAGACGGACGCCUCCAUCCCCUCUUGGCCUGCCUUCCCCCCACAAACCCCCAAGACCUGAGCAGGCGAACGAGAGAUCGGGGACCCCAUCACGCUUCCGGAAUUAACUCAGCUGAGAACAACGUUUCUAAAGAGGGGCAGAAGGAGGAAAAAACGCCACAGGCUUUUAAAGGGAAGACCCAGGAAGGGUGGCGUCGAAGGAGGGGAGAGUGGCCCCUGGCUCUAUCCAGCCGUGGCCGCUGGUCCUUGGCCCGACUGUGCCGGGCCCUCUAGCUGAGCAUCUUGUGCCGAUCGAAGACCGUCUUCCGUUGCUCCUGCACCUGCAGCUUCCACCGCUGCUGAGCGCCUUCCACACGUUCCAGGACCGUGUUGGCGCGGGGUCCCCCGAAGGAGGCCGCGGCAGCCGCCAUAGAGCGAGCAUCCUGCAGGAGGACAGGAAAGGGAAGAUUUGGCACCGUGAGCCAGAGGGGUCUGGAAAGCUGGCACGCAACACAUGCCCCGAGAGCAACCCCAAAGUCUGAACUCCCUCCACCCCCAACUGGGAGGCUGGGGCUCCCCAGGGCCGCGGGCUCCUGGAGGGCCUGGCCUCCACCCACAGGGCCCAGCACAGCACCCGGCCAGCUGGAGGCUAGUGCUUGUAGAAUCUGGAGGACCAGGCCCGGGAAGGGGGCGCCUGGAAGACCAUGAUCUGGGGCCCCAGGUACGAAACAGCCAGCUCGUCAGGUCCACAGGUGCACCCCCAGGCCUGUUUCUAACCCUCGACGGGAACACUGAGUGUUGGCCUCAGGACCUCACUCAGCGCUGGGGACUCAAGACACUUGCUGUUUCAGGAAAUGCAUCGAUUGCCCCAAGGCUGGUCCUGGGCUGCAGAACUCCCCUGCCCGGCCGCCACAGCUCAGGGCUGCAGGAAGGCCCAGGGCUAGGACCUGGCUGCGCAGAGAGGAGCGCACAUCCACUCUGGGCAGGAGAGGGCCCUCUGAGGGGCCUGCACAGGGGGGCACCCACAGGAUCUGCUCUCAUGGGGCUGGGAUACCCAGUUCAUUCUCCCGGGAAACAGGGGAUGACGUCCCUUGGGGAGUCUGGCAGGGAGGGAAAUUCGGAGCUGGACCCCAGCACCCCAUCCCACAGCCAGCCCUGGCCCACCCUUUGGGCCAGUUGGGUGGGCUCGCUCCUUCUCCACCCACCCCACCGCCCCCGCCCCUUUGCUGUCAGAACGGUUUCUGUCGUCGUCAUUGAAGGCAGCAUCCUCCCCUAAUUACCACUUCUCUGCCCCUGACGCCGGAGCCCGUGCGUUUCCUGCAGGACCCGAGCCUGAUCUUUGGGGGGGACUGGAGCCGAGGGCCAGGCCCACACCCCCCUGGGGAUUUCCUCCCUGGCUCUCCCUGCCUCUCAUCUCCUGCCACACGUCUCUUAAGGGAUUAGCACACCUCUCUGAGCCUGGGGCCGCCCAGUAAAUGCAACUGCGCUUCUAACGCCCUGAGCUGGCACGGCUUCUGUCACCACGCAGCUGCCAGGCGGGGAGCAGGAGGGGGGCCGGGCGAGGGUGGGGGGCAGAGAGGUGGCUGGAGGGGAGGCCGGCAGGCGGUCCACUGUCGCCGCAGAGUCUCACAAGCACUGCCCAUGGCAAGUUAGAGACGGACACAGCCCCAGGAGCCCCAUGUCCAGGACUCGAGGCCCCGCCCUCUGCCAGGCCAGGUGAGGGUCACAACACCUCGGAGGCAGGUGCUAGCAGCCUUGGCAGGGGCAUGCUGCGUGUGGGGUCCGGACCCCAGGGCUCCACGCCUGGGCUUUGAGGGGCCACCCUCUCCUCCGGCCUCAGGCCCCCCGGCCCAGCUCAACUUAACCAUGCCAGGCUGCUCAGGCUCUUGACCACACCAUCAGCAGGAAUUCCGUCACCUGACGCUCCGACAUCAUUGCAUCACACACACACACACACACACGCACAGUUACAAUCUCACAGACUGCCCAGUACGGUGCAUUCUGACGUUGCCUGCUCUGCUCCAUUUAGUUUUUUAAAAUGCUGGCCGUGACUCCUCAACUGACUUCAUGACCUCACGGGUCGUGACCUCCAGUUUGGAAAACCCUGGCUCCCAAUCAGGAGACGGGCCGGCAGGAGACACGCGAUCACACGCGCCCGGCACUUGGCAGGCUGGUGGCCACAGACAGGCGCUCCGGGAGCGCCCUGCAGUUUCGCGCAGCCUGCAGAACUCUCCGGAAUCAGACAAGCCUGGCCGUGAACGCUGGCUCUGCGCCUAUCAGAACAGGGCCUUGGGCAAGUCACCCGGUCCCCUGAACCUGCUCCCCACCUAUUGCUCUUCUCAUCGAGACCACAAACCUGAGCUCUCUGGCAGCGCCUGGCAGACAGCAAGCGCUUGGGGAACAGCAGCGAUUCCUAAUAUCAGGCCCAGCUGCGGGGUCUCCCAGGCAGGGGCGGGGGAAGCUAGCAGCCUGUGGCCUUGGAAUAAGGACUGUUGCAUCACGUCCCCUCUCAAGUCUGUUCCUUUCCAGUUCAGCGGGGCCCACUGAACGCUCCCGGGGGCCAGGGACGCCGCUGGCCCGCCAGCACCUAGCUCUCCUGGCCUCUCCUGCCCAGUCCCCAUCUUGUUCCUCCCAGGACCAGCGAGGAGGGAGGGUGUGACCCCGAGGAGCGGGGCGCUGGGAGGCUGUUGCCUGCGUGUGCGUGGCUCUGCGUCUCGGGAGGCUGGGGGGGCAGGCAGAGCAUGAAGGGGACGCGCCAGCACGCAGCGCACGACCACGGCCUCGUUUGUUCUCCCUCGGGUAAAGUCUUAACCAACUGCCUCUAAGAGGGAGAAUCUGGGUGGAGAGCUCCGUGUCCCCGUGCUAAGAGUCUGAUUAAAAGGUAUUAAGACCCCGCACCUGUUCUGAGACAGCCCGGAGCGGCCUCCGCGCCGGCUCUGUAGUGGGACGGUGGCCGCAGGUGGGAGAAAGCCCACUGUCUCUCGCCCCUUCCCUCCGAGGCCGGGUCUCCAGGCAGCUCGGGGAGGCAGAAGGCAGUGAGGGGAGGGGGGGUGGCCCCAAUCAGGAGGAGGCGCUUGGAUGCUGACAGGUUCCCAGGGCCCCCUGGUGGGGGCGGACCAGCACGGUGGUGACAGCUCCACGGUGCACCAGGCGCUGGGCGGGGAACUCCACAUGGAUCCCCACCAGGCCCACGGGACUGGCACGUGGGCGACAUUAUUCCCAGCUGUGGAUGAGGAAACCGCGGAAGACGAAUCACCUCGCCGCCCAAGGUCACACAGCAGUUCAGCGGCCGGGCCAGGAUCUGAACCCAUGCCUGCACACCCCUUACCCCAAGACACGCCUGGGUCCCUCUGUGGCCAACGUGGAAAACCCAAAAGCAGACUAACCCCAAGGAGAGAGCAGUGAAGGCACCAGGGAUCAGGCACUGCCGCUGGCCCCCCCCAGCCCUGGGAGACCCCGAAGAUCCGUAUGGACCAGACUGAGCUGACAGACUCCCCAUGAGCGCCUGGUGAAACCAUUGCAUGAACCCUCCUCAGCCCGCCCGGAGGCGCUGGUUCUGAGCCAGCUCUGGACCGGACCCGAGGCUCUGGGACAACAGGGAGAUGAGGAAAGAGAACCCCCACCUCUGGUGGGCGGCCCUCGGCCCCAGACCUGGGGGCGCACAGCACAGGCAGCCUCGUGCUCCCCCAGCCACACAGCUAAGCGGGCGAGUGUGAGCCUGCGUCCUCCCUCAGUGCUGACGAAUAACCGACUCCUGCUGCAGCCAGCCCCAGGCUUCCUCGUGCAUGAACCACCAGGCGUCUUCUGACGCUGUCACAUGCCGCUGCUUCUGCUCAGAGGCCUUGCCUGGCGCCCCGGCUGCUCAGGGAUGACCUGCCCUGAGCUCGGCCCACUCUGAGCUACAUGAGCCCGCAGCCAGCCUCGCCUGCCCUGCUCCCGUCCUCGGCCACACUCGUCCACGCGGCCUUUGUACUGCCGUGCCUGCCUCCCCGCCAGGCCUCUGCCGUGCCGCCCCAGCCUCCCCUCCAACGAUAGCACGCUCCUCGGGUGUUAAGACCACCCCCGAAACGUCUAGUUCUGAAGGAGGAAUGCACACCGUGACGCUGGCACACACGCGAUCACAACAAUAUGCUGAGGGGACCAUCAAGCCUGCUCCAGAGUCAGAGAACUGAACCGGGCGGUCAGCACCCCUGGGGACAGGAAGCGGCAGACAGAGCUGGACUCCCACCAGAACUGGGAUCUGAAACCCUGCUCCUGCCAACAGUCCUGCGAGGCCUGAUGGCUGUUCUAGAAACGUCUACUGACUCGCAGCCCUCCCAUUUGUCCUCAGAGGAGAGGAGGGUGCGUCCCCAUCAGCCCCCGAGGUCGUGUGCUGCUCAACCCUCCCUGGAGGAAGCGGGAGCCCAGUGCCCUGAGCCCUGUCUUCUCUGCGGUCCCCAUGUGCCCAGGCGCCACCACCAUCAGCACGGCCAUCAUCCUCUCUCCUUGAUCCCCGCACCCCUCUCCCCCAGGGGCCCAGGGUGGCAGCCGCGCCCAUGGGGGAGAUCUCGGAGGACCCUGUUAGAGUGCAGGGGGCCGGCGCUGGGAGCAGCAGAGACACCCGGAGCCUCCUAGAAGCCCUCGCUUCUCUCUCUUCAAAGAGCCAGACCUGCACAUCUAAGGCAGCUCCGUCCCGGCAAACAUGCUCGCUUCCUCCUUUCAAAGGGCGUCUGAGCCCGGGGAUUAGCCCUAAAGCUGCUGGAAUCCUGGGAGGCAGCGCCCGGCAGUCAGGCCCACCGAGGCCUGCCAGCGCUUUCAAAGGGACGCGCAGCUUUCAUCUCCUCCCCGGGCCGGGGCCGGGGCCGGGGCCGGGGCCGGGGAUGCAGGCGAGGCCUCCCCUCCUCCUCCAGCCCUCCAGCCUGGGGUAGGAGAGCUCCCGGCUACAGGAACUGGGGGGAUGGCACCCAGGCUCCCUUCUCAAGGUCACCGAGUUGUACAGGCCGAGAAGAACUUUCAGAGACCGAGGCCCCGUUGCCACUUUCUUCCUCUUGGGGUGAAAGCGAAGACGCCCCCCCCCGCCCUCCCCAGCCCAAGGAGGCCCCGUCCUUCUUAAGGGACAUGCUCUCCAGGCCACUAAUAAACCCAGAGACGGCCUCCGUCCUGGUUCUGCCACCGACAGCCAGGCGGGACCUCCCUACCGCUUCCCCAUGUGCACUGAGACCGGAGGGUCCGCAAAGACCCCUCCCCAUCCGGGACAGGGCCCCUUCCAUCCUCUGAGCUCUGAAGAUCCCCUCAGCCAGGAGGCCUUCCAUCCCAGACAGGAUGAAGAGAAGGAGAAGUCCCCCACCCCCACCUGGCAAGGAGCCUCCUGCAGCGUCCAGCUUCCUCCUUCCGGCCCGUCUCCUGCCUCCUGGUCCCUCGAUGGCCCCCAGGCUCCCUGCUUAAACCCCCUCGGGCAGACAGGGGGUCUGUGGACCCACAUGGUGCCACCUGCAUGACUUUUGAGAAGGGCCAAAGGAAAGGAAGCCACGUGCGUGCGAGGGGAACGGUGCUGCUGAUCCCCAAGAAGGGACGAGCCAGGAGGACCUAAGACGGUGGUAUCACAGUCACGAGUGGAGGGAGUGCAGACACACUCACGGCUGCCCUGAGGGGGUCCCUUAGCCACCCCCAGGGCACUGCCCACCCCCAUCUCUCCGCAGAGCGGGCUGCACCCCGGCCAGGGUAUCAGAGUCCGAACACGCUUUUCAUCUUCUAGAACCUCGGGGUCAGGUGUCAUCCAUCCCCACUCGGCCCUCCCAGGGCCUCAGCCUGACAGCUGCCUGCGGGGCCCAUUGUCCUCCCGGCACCUCCGAAACACGGCCAGACAGCACCCCUCCCUGGACAACCCUUCCUACUCUCCCAGGCAGCGUCCACCCUCUGAUUCAGGUUCGGCUCCCAGGACCUACACUGACCGACUCUACCCCCUCCUCCCUCCGCAAGGCCCCCUCUCAUGAACAGAGACAGCCACGGCUUAAGACUCCACGUGGGGAGCCCCAGGUCUCCCAGGGGAGGGGUACCUGGGCUCAGACCCAAAGACAGCAGCUGCCCUCCGGCUCCGUAUCCAGGACACAGGCGACACAACAAGGCCGGCCCACAGCCAUCGUGCCCCACGGCCACACAUUCCAGGGAAGUCACAGCCCAGCCGUGUAAUCAGCGGCCACAUCUCUCAAUUACUCCCCAGCCAGGACUGCAAUUAGCACAUUACCCCGAUCCAGGGUGUUCAUUAGCGAUGCCCCCCUCCAUCAGAGCUGCUAUUACUGUGCGCUAAUAACCAGGUAGGCACGCAAGGUUUCCUCGUGAACGCAGACCACCCAACUGCCAGCGCCUCCACCUCCCAGGCCGGAGUUCCGAGGGGGCCAGGCCCACCCUCUCUGCUCCACCUUUGGCCAAACUCAUGUCAGCAGGAGGCUGGGGGCAGACGGGGAAGGGUCCGGGCAUGUACCUAGGAGAAGCUCCAGGCCCGUGGAGCAGCCAGGCCUCCCCCGCUCCCUGGCCUCGUGCAGGCCCCCGACUCGGCUGGGCGCUCCACACCGGGAUCUGAGCCCCGGACCCUCUUCUUGGGGGGAACCCACCCUUUCCCACGUCCAAGCCAGUGCCUGAAUUGCUCCAAACUGAGACUGCUGGUGGCAGUUUAGCUGAUGUCUGGUGACCUUGAGUGACCCUGGACGCACUACCACGCACCUGUGGAGGUUCACCUGGACUGCCUCGUCUUGCAGACGACUCCUUCUCAUGGCGUCAAACCUCCCUCUCUUGACUCCCCAUUCGGGGUCUCUGCGCCCCUGGCUUCGCCCAGAGAGGGGCCAAGCUCUCAUCUGUACACGUCUGAAGGCUGCCACCUCCAGAAGUUUGGUUCUUGUUUUUUCCUCAAGCUACACACCUCCCAGUCUCUUCAACUCACUCUCCUCGAUGUGGCUGACACGCUUCGCCACUGGAAGCCCCCUGCAUCUGUGCUGGCUCCCUCCCCUCACCUCCCUCCCUGGAUGAGCCAUGAGGAGCACCCUCCAGCAGCAGGGGGCCUCGGGAUGGAGCUGGCAGACGUGCGGUGCCCUCCACAGCCUUCUGGAGCUGCCAUCCCCAGGGCAGACAGCGGCACAGCCCGGCCCCGCCUAUGGACCGCCCGCACUGCUGUGAGGCCCUCGGGCCGACCACUGUCUCGUGCACACAACUGGUGGCUGUGGGGGCCUGUAAGGGGAGCUCGGGGCACGUGGGGUCAGAGAGUCCUCCAAUCUCCCUGGGGAGUGCAGCCCCUCACCACUCUGCCCAGCAGGCCGCACAGCGCUCACCACUUCCCGCUCCCACCCCGGGCUCCUGUGCAGGCUGCCGAGCUCCUCAGGACGGGGAAGGGGGAGAGGACGAGGGUCACUGUUAGUGUGACCGGCCUGCCCCAGCCCCACCAGCCCCCACCCCAGUGCGAGCACCUGCCAGGCUUGUGGACUCCCAGGUGUUGGUGGUUCCCAUCUUCCUUACGUAAGGGAACCAAAACUCCUCAGCUUGACAGUUGAGGCCUUUAGUAAUCUGGCCGAAGCGUGCUGGCCGGCUCGACGUGCCUCUAGUCCUAGACCUGCCUGCCUUAUCCCUGAAACGCUCAAGGUUCCUCAAGCGUAUACGCGGUAGUUUCCCACCUCAGCACUCCCACCACCUGACUCCUCACUGGCUCUUGAAAUCCUGCUUUGCCCCAGGGCUGGGGCUGCAUCUGCAGUGAGCAGGGGCUCAACAGAUGUCUGUGGAAUCUGGAAAGCCCAUCGCCACCUCCAAGCCCAGCAGAACCUGACACGACGUGAGGAACCAGGAUGCCGGGGGUCUGUAUGUGUGACAGGCCUGGUUGGCUCAUGUCCCCUCUGAUAGAAACGUGGUAAAGCAGGCGGACGCGGCUCCAAGCUGUGCACCGAGGCUGAUGGUGCCAGACAUCAGGAGACAUGCAGGCCACCUCCCGCUCCACCUGCAAGGGCAACGGGCUGCCCCUGCUGGAGAAACAGCUGGGUCGGGUGACGUGUGGACAUGGAGCAGAAGAGCGAACCAGGGCACGGCGGGGCACACACACCCCCAUGCAGGCCCCAGUGGUGCCGUUCUGGUUCUGCCCCAGAGCCCCGUUACCUCGUUCUCCUCCUCAUUGUGCAGCUGUUCUGUGUACGCAUCCGGCUUUCGGAUCAGAGGGUCCACCAGCAUCAGGAAAGUCAUGUAGAGCAGGAGGGCCCCCACCACCGACAGGUAGAUGACAAUGAUGACCUGAGGAGGAGACCGACCCGUGAGCAGCACCCUGGGCAUCUGCGUCCCACGGCGGUGACCGCACCAUGCACUGGGGAAGGGCUGAGACCGUGUGGGCCUGGAGGGACGGGGGCCAGGAAGGGACAGCACGGCCUGCUCCACGCGUUUACUAACUCUGCCCCAAACUGAGGGGGUCCCACAGGAACACUGAGUUCCCCAGCAGGCAUAGAAGACAGACGACAAAGGAAGGAGUCUGGAUCCUGACUCCCCAAGAUGCUCCCCGGGCUGGGGAGCAGGGAAACGGGGCCCCCUGGCUACGGAAGAGCCUAUGACAAAGGGUGGAAAGCGAUGGGGCACUAAGAAGAGCAAGCAGGUGGCGGGCGCAGAGGCCGAGGAGAAGGAACCUGGGCACGUGGGCGCAUCCCACUGCUGGGCGCGGGAGUGAUGGGGGGACGUUUCUGCACCCAGCGCCCGCCAGCAGGACAGCCUGGCAAGGUGUGCAAUGAUGGCUGGAGGCCAGGUCCAGCCCCCAUGGGUAACCCUGCAGGGAGGAGACAGCCAGGGGCAGAGGGACAACUUCACGAAUUUCUCACAUACACGGAGAGCCUCACACGCUGCAGUCGGACAGACGCAGCGAGGCUAACGCAACGUUCCUCCACGUGGGAGCUCUGGGCAUUGAAGACUGGACCCUCAAGACACUGAGCAUCCACGGUCCCCGCAAUGGUGUCAGCAACACACCUCAGUUAUUGGGGCCACAGAAGCCUCUCCACUCAUCUCUGAGUGUCCCUUGGGGUCCAGGAACCCCCUGAUUGAGAACCAACAGGUCCCAAGAUUAGUACACGGCAGAGACGUAACCUGGACCCAGGUUCACUGACUCCAUCCAAAAGGCUUUCUCUACUUCCAAACGCCGGGCCAUCCCUGGCUUCUGACCCCAGCCCUGGCCCCUGACUGUGAAGAGGGGAUAAAAGCAAGCUCGGGCUUCCAGGUGUGGGGCUCAGUCUACAGCCACGCUCACCUGGACCGACCUCCUCCGCAGCGGGGGCAUCAGCGUUCACGCCUCCUUAAAUGGGGUCAAUAAUCAGACCUGUUGCCCGCGCCCCAGGAAGGGGGAGGGGGAAUGGAGGCUGACUCUCGGAGAGGCCGAAAGUGGGGAGUCUCCUGGGAGAAUGGCUGGAAGGAAAUCGGGGGGACUAGGAGGAGGUCGCCAUGUCGGGAAGUCCCUUCCCCACUGAAGAGGGAGAGGUGACAUCCAGCUCAGAAUUUGAGGGCUCAGAGGGUGGGGCCCCCGGAGCAGGUUCAGAGGAGGAAGGCCGGGUCCAGGAGGGACGGACUUGGCGGAGGAUGAAAGGCAUUGAGUCUGUACAGCGUGACAGGGCAGUGACAGGGGUCGGGAACAGGCAGCUGCCCUCCAUCUGAAAGGCGAGGACACUGAGGACCCCCGGGCAGGCCAGGAGCUGCCGGCUCCCUGGGCUGGGCAGGGAGGAUCGUGGUGAGGACCCCCUCCCCUCUGAUGCACCCCCAAAGGGGACCUGACAGAGGACUCAGUGGUGUCGUGAAGGUCCUCAGAGCUCUUUCCCGAUGCUACUACUAGACUCUUGACAGGACAAACGGAAAUGAGCCUAAAAGCUGGAGCAGGAAGGCCUUAUGCUCGAAAUCGGAGAGCGUGGUCGGGCUCCCCAUGGAGAACCUGGACUGGAGACCCGGAGGGGGUCUGGGAGACGAGGUUCUGCCAGAGAGAGCCAUGAUCUGGGCAAGUCCUGCCUGGAGGCAGAGAAGGGCCUGGGUCCUGGCUGGCCUCACUUCCUGUGGUGGUGGCUGUGUCCACCACCUCCCUCCUGAAUCCAGCCAAUGACCUAUGAGAACAUGGUGCAGGGAGGAGCCAAAGGAAGCAGCCUGAGCCCUCUGCCCAGGUCCUAGCCCCAGACACCGGCUUGGUUCACGUCUCUCCAGGCUCCCAGCUCCAUGCUCUCAGCUGCAGCUGUGCGGGGACCGCUGGCUGGAGGUUGCAGGGAGAGCGGCCACCACGACGGGGUGGGACAUAGUUCCUCCGUCUACAACCAGGCCAGCUUAGAAGCCAGUCCCAGAGCCACCCAGAAUGUUCCAGAACAGAGAAGAGCCGGUGGCAUAGGGCAGGGGUGGGGAGGGGGGUGGGACUGGUGGUACGUUACCUUGAUGGUGGUGGUGCUGCGCUCCUCGUACCUGCACUCGCACAGCAAGCAGUAGGCCUCCACGUCAUGGCCGGGCACAGGCAUGGGGUCAACCACGUGCAGGCAGUUGCUGCGGCAGAGACAGGCGCUGAGGGGGGCCGUGGGAGGAGGAGCAGGGCGGGGGGGGGAGGGGGCGGUGUGGGAGGAGGAGCAGGGCUGAGGGGGGCCGUGGGAGGAGGAGCAGGGCCGAGGGGGGCCGUGGGAGGAGGAGCAGGGCUGAGGGGGGCCGGGGGCCGUGGGAGGAGGAGCAGGGCUGAGGGGGGCCGUGGGAGGAGCAGCAGGGCUGCUGGGCAGAGGGGACCAGGCUCCUGGGGAGGGCAGGGCUCUAGCGAGGGUGACAGCCCUGCCCUUGCCCAUGAGCACCAGCUCCCCACAGUACACCCCAACUUUAGGGAGUUGCCACUCCCCAAAGUUCUGGCCCCGCCUGCCCUUCUAUCUCAUGCUGUGUGCUGCCUGAGUGGGCCUGUCCCUUCCAGAGAUUUCUACUUGGAGGCUGGUGGGUCUCAGAUGAGACUUAUCAGCUGGGUCUCUCUCCUCCAUUCUCAUGCCCCGCUGCCUGUGAGUGCCCCGUCGGGACCACAAACCCCACAGCCUCUGCCCCUGACUCCCCAAUUCCCCAACUGGCUCCAUGGUCGUGUUCCCAAUGGCAGAGAGCACGUCUCCCACCCACUCCAUGGCCCAAGUUGAACCUGGGAACCAUCCCUGACACUGCCUGUACUCCCACCCACAAUCCCGCACACCCAGGGACUCCCCUCCUCAAACAUCUCUAAAACCCUGCUUCCUUACUCUCCCCCACGGCUGCGUCUUAGCGGAGCCCUCCUCAUGUCUUCCUCAGAUGGCCCCCCGCCCACUGCCCUCCCGCCUUGGUUUGGCCCUGUUCCAAACCACUUUCACCAGCAGCCCGGUGGUCUCCCCAGAUGAAACUCCGGUCCUGCCACUGCCCAGCUUAGCCCGGUCGCUGCCCCACCGCAGGGCCUCUGCUCCACCCAGGCGCCCAUCCACCUCACACCGGGGCUGCCCGCCUGUCCAGCUCCUCACCCCGCUGCCCACCCUCCAGCUGUGCUGACCUCCUGGACUUUUCUCUGAACGAGCCACGCUCCCCUCCCUGACACGACUCACACCCUGUGCCAGGAAUGCCCGGCUUCAUCACCGCCUCCUUCCCCUCUCUGAAGCCCACACGGCCUUCGGGGUUCAGCUCCGGAGCCCUCCCCACAAGAGCAGCUCCUCACGCUCGUCUCCGCGCCACCACUGAUGGCUCUGCACUGGAGUCAGACCCUCACCCCGGGAGAUGUCAUGUCCCUUGAGGAUAGGGGUCCGCUCCACGUCCCCAGCGCCUGGCACAGUGCUGGCCAGAGCAAGGCUCGGUACCCGAGCGACUGCCGUCACGCUGCUGAGGCCAGGACCCAAACUGGACGCCCGGCCUCACAGUCGCUGCAGGAUGCUCAGCCCCAGGGGCCCGUGCUGGUCUGGGCUCUAACCUGGGCCGCUCCGUCCCUGCCUGCCUCGGAGCAGCACGUUUCCAACCUGGCUGGCUCACAGACCACACUGAGCAAGCCAGGGACCCUGCAGACGCACCCGUAUCAUCACCCCUGGGAAAACCAAACACCCCCAGAGGUCCGCAGAGGCGAACUGGGGGUCACGGUGCAGUGGACAGCCAGCUCUGGGCUGUCCCCGCCCUGCCAUGAAGCGUCUGGUGCCCUGGGCCUGUCCUCCCCUCUGUGACGGGCAGGGCUCGUACCACACGACCCUCAAGUCCCUUCCAGCUCUGACAGGGAUGCGGCCAGCGUGGAAGACAGCUCCCUGAGAGCAGUCAGGCCUGUUCCGCGCUGUCCCGGGGUCCUGCUAGACUCAGGCUGGGUUUCUGGCAGAAGCAUGGAGGAUGUGCGAUGUGAAGACCAGGUGUUGAAAUAAAAAUGGGGCGUCCUCUAAAAGCCUCUGUCCCCCCUAGAAACCCAGGUUUCUAGCAGGGGCACAUAUGGCAUACAUGUGUGCAGCAUAUAGGACUUUAUCUAAACCUCUGGUGACCCAGUCCCACCUCCGGGCAGCAGCUUCCGUCACAGUACCCCCUGCUGCGUGCAUGGUCCUUCCCCUACUGUGACUGAACCCACCCUCUCAGAUCCCACAUGCAGCUGCCACAGGGAGCAGGGAUAGACAAGGCCAGGGUCACACCCGGCACCUGGUCACCACUCCUGGGACCUCCCAUCUCCAGGAAGUCACUACAAUCCUUCUGAGGACCAGAUUCCUCCCGUCCCAAGCCACAUGGGCUCCUGGUGCUUCAGUGGGAUGCGUGGAUUCCCCACGGGGCCAAAGUGGGGUGUCAGAGGCAGCUGGGAGGGGCCAACCUGAGCUCUUCAAAUUGGGUCCUGUCACUCAGGGAUAGGCUGUGAGGGGUAAAGGAACAGCAAAGGAGGAGCUGACGUUUCUGCCGUGUCCGGCUCUCCAGAGAGUCAGUGGGACCCCAAACACGUCCUUGCUCUCAGAAGGACCCCAUUUACCGUGGGGAUCAGCGCCUUCAAGCCUCUACAGGCUGGCCAGAGCACACCAGGGGAGAGGGCACAGAGAACAACAAGCCGGGCUGAGGUCUCUGCUCUUCUGCGCGUUCUGUGCUUGUAGGCAACUCAUUUAACCUCCCUGGGUUUCCUCAUUUACGAACGAAGGCUGACUCCAGCAGUAUCUUUCAAACUGUGCUCUGGUGGGCACCCCAGGACCCACGGUGCGGGAGCAGGGUGCAAGGCGGGGCUGAGGGACCCCUCCCUCCCAGCCAGAGCACUUCUGACUUCCACACCUUGUGCUUCCAGAACAGGUUUUGUUGGAAGAAAGGCUGUAUCUGUAGACGGACAAAGACCCUGAACUAGCCAACCUGGCGGGUUCUUUCCUGCUCUGGGAUGGUCUCUAUGCCGUACAUCCCUGGGGGACGUGCCAGCUGGCAAAGUUGUUGGGGCUUCUGUCUCUUUGUGGCAUGUACUUCAGCACUCCCAACGCUAGAUGGCAGAAAACCAGCCACACAGGGGCCAGCCAAACAGGAUGACUUCCCUCUGGGACAAAUCCUGGAUCUUACGUCCAGCCUCAGAUUCAGCCACCACCCUUAACAGAACUGCCUUGAGGGUCUAGAUUUAAGACUGUUCAUCAGCAGCCCCCUAAUUCUGAUGUAUACAGGGAAGGACAUAAACGCUGGCCUGAGAGGUCCCCGCAGGACUCCUGUGUCUGGGCAUCCCAGUCUGGGUUUCAGGCCAGGCUGCAACCUCAGGGCAGAGACCGUGCAUGCUACCAAGAUCUGCCAGGGCCUGCGGGAUGCAGCCUUACCGUCUGCCAGGGCCUGUGGGAUGCAGCCUUAUGAUCUGAUGGUGCUGAGACAUCCAUCAAUCCAUUUACUGAUGCCAUCUGACCCAGAACCACAGACACAAGGAGGUGGCAGGGGCUCCUCCCAGGUCUUCACGUCUCAGGGCCUCGUGAAUCCAUCAGGACAGGCGAGAACAGAGGGAGACAGUCCAGCGCCGGGGGGAGCCCCGGUUGUGCGGGGCUACGGUGUACGUCUGAUGACGAUUACCUAUGGGGCCUCUGGUAAGGCUUGAUAACGUAUAUUAGUCACGAUAUCAGCUAACGUUUACAUGGCACUUACUACGUGCCAGGGAUCGUUCAAAGCGCUAAACAGCCAUGCGUCGCUUAACGAUGGGGUCACGUCCGAGAAAUGCGUCAUUAGGCGAUCUCGUUGUUGUGCGAACGUCACAGAGUGCACUUACACAAACCUAGAUGGUGCCGUCCACUGCACACCCGGGCUAGAUGGCACUCAUCUGAUGGCACCAACAUUGUAUACACGGUCCAUUGCUGACUGGAGUGUCAUCACGCAGCACAGGACUGUAGUAACUCGUACGUGUGUGCGUGCACGCACACGUGAUUAUUUAAUUCUCACGAUACUGCCACCGUCUUACAGAGGAGGAAACUGAAGUGCACUGGAGGUUAAGUCACUGGUCACGCAACGACAAGUGGCUGAGCUACACGUGAAGCCAGGCAGGCCAGCCCCAGAGUGUGUGCCCCUAACUAGGCUGCCCCUCGGGAAAUCAGACUAUCUUAGGGUUGGAUGGGGUCAAAGCUCCCCACUGCUGUUCUGGACCAAUAAUCUACAUCAUAAUCACCUGAGGGACCUUAAGGAAAGGUUACUGUCCCCCCAUAUUUACUGACUCAAUUAAGUACGUAACGAACAACAUGGUGACUACAGUGAAUACUAUAUUAUAUACUGAAAGUGGCUAAGAGAAUGGAACCUAAUGUUCUCACCACACACACACGGUAAUUAUGGGAGGUGACGGAGGUGUUAACCAACCUUACUGUGGUAACUGUUUCGCAAUAUAUACGUGUAUCCAAUCGUCACGUCGUCCACGUUAAACUUACACAAUGUCGUAUGUCCGAUGCAUCUCAACAAAGCUGGGAAAAAUUACAAACCCAAAUCUCAAGGACAGGAGGGAGUGGGGAAUCUGUAUUUUCUCAAUGCGCACCUGCCAAUCCUAAUGUACUAACCCUUGUGACGCUGAUCCCUUCCACGGAGGCUUUAUCAAGGAAUCACCCAUCUGUGCUCAGGUGUCUCCAAGGAUGGGGCUUCCCAGCUCCUAAGCCCAGAUUAGAAAUGCUCCAGCCAUGCACACGAAAGUCUGUUUCCUGAAGCUUUCUUCCUUUGGCCUCCAUUCUACACCCAAACCACACUGAACAUAACUGAGACCCACAAGCCCCCAAUUCCACACGCCCCCACCUCCCAGAGGGGGCCAGCCCCUCUCCCGUCCUUGUGAGCCUCCACGUGGCCCGAGACCUCUCUGCAGCCUCUCUCUAGCGCCUCUAGGACCAUCCCUUCUAGGACAAUGUGUAGGAACUUCCCUUCACAAGCUGGUCUCCUUUCUCUGAACGAAGUGGUGAUUAUUUCUCUCUCUUUUAAAGGGAGGCAGGCAGAAAGGAAUUCAAGACUCCAGGAGUGUAUUUGAAAUUCUCUCUUCGGGCUUCAGUCUCUGGAAUUAUAAAAUGGGAACACAACCUACCCCAUCAACCUUACAGGGUCCUUCUGAGACUGGCACUGAACACCACACGCAACAGAGCUUUGCAAAAGUACGCAAGCACGCAAAAGAUCCCACACAGUGUGUGGCUGUAGGACCCACCUCUCCCAACUCCUCUGCUACUAUUGGGCACACGUUAAUAAACGUCCAAAUCAAAGCAAAAUAACAAAAUCCACUCCUCUGACCAGGAACCCCUCAGCUGGAAUUCAAAACAUCCGGAUCCUAUUUCCAGUGUGUCGUGUGACCACAGACAAAACAGUCCUUUGUAGGGUUCCCUAAAGCGAUGGGAGAGCAGGGGUCCGCCAGGGCUCCAAGAACUCUGGGAAACACCCAUAACUUCCACUAGGUGUAGGAGCCAAGGGGAGCCUGCACAGUGCCUUACCAGUCCUUCUGCGACACAUUCUGGUUGUAAAUGUGUCCACUGAUGUUCCUGUACGGCGGACAGAUGCAUUUGCACCGGAUAUCUU
ensembl:lncRNA